UGGGGAAUUUUGGACAAUGGGCGCAAGCCUGAUCCAGCAAUGCCGCGUGCAGGAUGAAGGCCUUCGGGUUGUAAACUGCUUUUGUACGGAGCGAAAAGAUCUGCCCUAAUACGGUGGGCUCAUGACGGUACCGUAAGAAUAAGCACCGGCUAACUACGUGCCAGCAGCCGCGGUAAUACGUAGGGUGCGAGCGUUAAUCGGAAUUACUGGACGUAAAGCGUGCGCAGGCGGUUAUAUAAGACAGGUGUGAAAUCCCCGGGCUCAACCUGGGACCUGCAUUUGUGACUGUAUAGCUAGAGUACGGUAGAGGGGGAUGGAAUUCCGCGUGUAGCAGUGAAAUGCGUAGAUAUGCGGAGGAACACCGAUGGCGAAGGCAAUCCCCUGGACCUGUACUGACGCUCAUGCACGAAAGCGUGGGGAGCAAACA
rnacentral:rRNA from 1 species